AACACCGAGGCUUACUACUUCCAUCUUAAUUCAACCCAUAAUCCAUUCUAUGAUUAUCAAUUCAACAAUACUUCUCUUAAUCACAAUUCUUCAUAAACAAAUAAUAAAGAAAACAAAGAGGUAGCACCAAGCAUAUCUCGGCUUACAACUCUCACAGUUUGGCUCUCAGCUUAUGACUCUCAGUCUGGCUCUCGGCUUACCUUUCCUCCA
rnacentral:lncRNA from 1 species